rnacentral:rRNA from 1 species
CAGUCGCCGCGGUAAUACGUAGGUCCCGAGCGUUGUCCGGAUUUAUUGGGCGUAAAGCGAGCGCAGGCGGUUAGAUAAGUCUGAAGUUAAAGGCUGUGGCUUAACCAUAGUACGCUUUGGAAACUGUUUAACUUGAGUGCAAGAGGGGAGAGUGGAAUUCCAUGUGUAGCGGUGAAAUGCGUAGAUAUAUGAAGGAACACCGGUGGCGAAAGCGGCUCUCUGGCUUGUAACUGACGCUGAGGCUCGAAAGCGUGGGGAGCAAACAGGAUUAGAUACCCCGGUAGUCCCUGUCUCUUAUACA